ACUCUUAUUGUGUCUUACGUGUGAUUUCACUUCCUGGCCUUUUCCCUUUCCUUUCCGCGUCGGCCAUUUGUGAUAAUCGACUGAGCUGAUAAUCAUCAAAUAAAGUCAGGAUGCAGAACGACGCUGGUGAAUUCGUGGACCUGUACGUCCCUCGCAAAUGUUCUGCUAGCAACAGAAUUAUUGGUGCCAAGGAUCAUGCCUCCAUCCAGAUCAACAUUGCUGAGGUGGACAAGGCUACAGGGAGGUUCAAUGGACAGUUCAAGACUUACGCCAUCUGCGGUGCUAUCCGGAGAAUGGGUGAAGCUGAUGACUCCCUCCUGAGGCUCGCAAAGAACGACAGCAUUGUGGCAAAGUAAGCCCAUGUCAGUGAACUGUGGCUUUUUCAUCUCCUUCUGGAUUUUUUAUUUUUUGGGGGGCAGUUUUUGAGUGUGUGAAAAGAGAUUUUACACUUGCUGUAAGAUUAGGUUUUCCUGUUCAGCAGCUGAUUCUUUGCUUUAUAACCAGUAUCAGUGAGCACUUUGAAGAGUUACAGCGCAAAAUGUCCUUACGUGAAAUCCUUUGUAUUAAAGUCUUUUCAAAAAAACUAAUUUUAAUAACUCUCAUAGUAUUCACUGAAUUUCUGCAGUUGAUCAGAUUUGUGGUGUAAUUGUGGUCUGUUUUUGUUACAUGCGGAUGCGAAGUAUGUUUCUCUCUAAUGAUUGUGUUUUUCUCUUUACAGGAACAUCUAAAGGAAUUUCUUUGUAAAAUAAAACCUCAAAUUGGA